CGGAUCGCAGGCUGCAACCCGCCUGCGUGAAGUUGGAAUCGCUAGUAAUCGCGGAUCAGCAUGCCGCGGUGAAUACGUUCCCGGGCCUUGUACACACCGCCCGUCACACCAUGAGAGUCGGAAACACCCGAAGUCCGUAGCCUAACCGCAAGGGGGCGCGGCCGAAGGUGGGUUCGAUAAUUGGGGUGAAGUCGUAACAAGGUAGC
rnacentral:rRNA from 1 species